CAGGAGGAUAGGGCAUAAACUUCUUGUUGCUCUUCUUUCAACCCAACAUUGUUCUCAUGCACUGUCAGUUUUUAAUUCAGUAAGCAUUUGGGGGUGUCCACUAUAUUUCAGGCUGCCUCAAGUGGUGGUAUGACUGACCAGUUAUGAAGGCACGGUUUAAAGGGUAAGUUAAGACCCAGCUCUGGUUACUCACAGAUGCCAAGCAUGAGAGGACAUCCUAUGAGUGUAAUGUAUUUCCCAUACAUUUCACAACAGAAGACAUAUAGGGCUGUCUGCACAUCCCAUGGAGGAGAGACCCUAGAGGAGUGUUUGAGAACAUAGUUCUGAAGUCAGUUCCAACACUCUCUCUUCCAUUUAUUUGCUAGAGGAUUGACCACGUUGCUUAACCUCCUUGUAGCACAAUUUCCUCAUCUUCUGAUUGGGGAUAACAGUACUUUAUGGGGUUGUUGUGAGGAUUAUGUGCUCUGUGUGUGUGUGUGUGUUUACACCUGUGUUUACAAAAGAGGUUAACAAACUAGUCUGUGAGCCAGAUUUGGCUGCUGCCUGUUUUUGUAUGGCCUAGGGACUAAUAAUAGUUUUUAUAUAUAUUAAAAAUUGAAAAAAAUUGAAAAGUAAUAUAAUAUUUUUGAUGUUUGAACAUUAUAUGAAAUUCAGUGUCCAUUUAUUCAGUGUCCAUAGAUAACACAGUUGUACUCAUUUGCUUAUGUGCUGGCUAUAGCUCCUCUCACUCUACAAAGACAGAAUUGAGCAUCUGUGAAUGAGACUUAGUUUGACUUUCAAAGCCUAAUACAUGAUCUGGCCAUUUAAAGGAAAAAAAAAAAAGUUGAAUUCUGGCUUGUGACAUUGAUCUAAAGUAAAUGCUAUAAACUGUUACUUAUAUUUUUUUUUCACAGUUGCACCCAUGGCAUUUGGAAGUUUCUGGGUUAGGGGUCUGACUGGAGCUGCAGCUGUUGGCUUACACCACAGCCGCAGGGAACACUAGAUGCGAGUCGCAUCUAUAACCUUUGCAUCAGCUUGCGGCCAUGCUGGAUCCUUAACUCACUGAUCAAGGCCAGGGAUUGAAUCUGCCUCCUCAUGGACCCCUGAGCCACAAUAGGAACUCACUUAUUAUUAUCAUUAAGCCAUUUUCUAAGUUAGAAUAAUAAUCUGGCUUGACCUUUAGUGUGAACAUCUCUUCAUCUUAGCUAAAUGUGAUGCUUGAAGACUAUUCAUGUGGUUGAAAAGUACAAGCAUGUAUCUGAUUCAGAUGUCUUUUUCCUUGUCGCGUCUUAGAAUUUCAUGAAGAGUGAAAAUAUCUGAAACCUCUUGUCUGUGCAGGUGGGCCUUUAAAGCUUCAUGGAACCUAAUGUUUGGUAACUAGUUUAACGGGUGUGCAUGUCAUAUCAUAGAGAACAUUGUAAAAUGUUCACUGAAGCCCACAGAGGGUUUUAUCCACUACAUUCCUCUUGCUCCCCAUCCCCGACCACAUCCAUAGGAAAUUAUCUUUGAGAAUAACGAAGUAUUGCGAACAAAGAGGAAUUAAAAUUAUAUUCCCGAGGCAGAUCCCAUUAUCAUCUCAUAGGAAUCUAACUCAAACCAACAGGGGGUGCCAGGUCAGCAUGCAUGUCUCUGGUGCAAAAGCACCCCUCCCAGGUCUUUCUAGAUGGGAGCUCAAUUUGGGUCCACGAUCACUCAACACAUUUGAGGAAGUCCAUUCCAUGUAGCAUUAUUUCAGAUCCUACUAUGAUGUGUUGCUUUAGUGAGGUGGCUCAUUCAUUCUGCUAUUAUUUAUUCAUGUGUAGACUUCUUAUACAAAUUGCUUCACUUACUGCUCUUGGGCUCCCAAUUCUGAACCUCUCUUUUGAAAAUCAAUAACACCUUUCUUCUGAGGGAAACUCUGGGCAAAGCCAGCUGUGAUGACUUUUGUUAUACUUCUUUGCAUUAAUUAUUCAUGGUUAUUUAUUGAAUAAUUCAACAUGUUAUAUGAUAAUUUUAAAGUUCUCUACCUUGUUACUGAAAAGUGAAGACUUUUUGGGCCAUCAAUUGAUUCAUGCCACAUGAAGCUAUUAUCACUGAGUGCAUGCAGUGUGUGAGAAGGUGACAUUCAGUUUUCAGGUUUCAUUAAAUAAAAUAAAGAUGAUUUGAGUAUAUUCCAUGGCCCUUAAGGAGAACAGGGAGCCUAUUCUUAUUCAAGCUACACUGUAAGUAAAGGGGAAUUACCAGUUUACUUAGAAAAGGCACAUUUUCUUGUUCCUUUUAUAAAGUACCAAUGAAAUAAUGAAGUAACACAUCUUCCCUCUAUAGUUAAUUAAAUGACAUAAAAUUUCCCCACAAAGUGGUUUAUUCUUUCUUUCCUUGUUUUCCUCUCCAUUUACUUCUUUAAUUUCAGUUGACAAAAAGCAAAUGAUUUUUUAAGUAUUUGUCUUUCUUAUUUUUAAUUAUCUGUUUUUAUCACUGUUUCAUUCAAUUGUUCAUUCCUUUAUUCUGACACUUGAAUAUACAUUAACUGUCUUUCAGAUGCUUAUAGUUCUUUUGUAAAUGCAUAAGUCCACCACCUAAACAAACCAAUCAUAAUCCACAGUGUCACUUACAGCUGUUUGACAUAGAGAGCAGCAAAGUUAGAAUUGUUGACUUUCCAUCGGUUCCUUCUCUGGAUUUCUAGUAUUUCUACACUAAGUAAUUCUCCUUCUAUCUAGGCCUCUAAACAGUUUUUAUCUGUAUGGAAAUACCUCUAAGUGAUGUAUAAUAUAACUCAAAGUCCUGUAGCAAUGUUUGAACCAAUGGGCUAUUUUAUUACUCUAUUAUCAGAAGGCAUAUCAGUUCACACUGGGUUGGGGAUGGGCCAGAAAAGCUGAAUAUGAAAUAAAGUAUUUUAUAAGCCUAGUGUCAUGUGGCUAAAAUGUUCCAAAUAAGUAGCUCAGAGAAGCUGUAGCGCAAAUAUAUAAUCGAUUACUAAUUUAGAACUACUACAUCUUAGAUAUCUCUCUGCAGAGGUAUCUUUAUAGAGUUCCUGCGAGGCAGAUUUUGAAAUCACAUGGUUUCCUUGUGAUUAUGGAGUCAGAUCAAAACAAAGAGGAAUGGAUAAAAUAUUUAUUAAUUGAUUUAUGGCUCAUCUUCUAAGGACUUAAAGCCAUUUAAAAACUAAUGAGGAAAUACAUGCUAAUGAGAAAUGAGGUGAAGAUCAUGUGGAGUUAGAGGACAAAAAUCCUCCAUCUUGGCUUCUGCAUCAGGAGGUAAACUGGCUCACUGUGAGCAAAGGUUGUUUUUAAGCGAAUAUUUAAGAAAAAGAGCAUGAAAUUUCCGACUGUGCUAAUUUUUCCACAGUUACCAUGAUUCUAUCAUAAAUAUGCCCUGUUUAAUUUAUUACUUUUGUAAAAAAAAAAUCUUUGAGUAAAUUCGAUGAUCUAGAAAUAUGUGCAAUUUAGGGAGUUCCCGUCGUGGCACAGUGUAAGUGAAUCCAACCAGGAACCAUGACGUUGGAGGUUUGAUCCCUGGCCUCGCUCAGUGGGUUAAGGGGUUAAGGAUCCAGUGUUGCCAUGAGCUGUGGUAUAAGUCGAAGGCGUGGCUUGCAUCUGGUGUUGCUGUGGCUGUGGCAUAAGCUGGCAGCUGUAGCUCCAAUUAGACCCCUAGCAUGGGAACCUCCAUAUGCCACAGGUACGGCCCUAAAAAG
rnacentral:lncRNA from 1 species